UUCAGGGUAGCGUAUUUAUUUUGUAUUGCUGGGAUUGUAACGCUGAGCCUUGAGCAUACCAGGCAAUCUCUCUACCACUGACCUAAAACCCGCCUCUUUGGGAGAAGAAUUUAGAGGACAACUACUUUGAAGAAGAUAACAUAGUUGAGGUAAGAGUGUGCUGAUCAACAUGAAGAGAGAAGACUGACAGUGAAGAGGUGUCAUCUUUUCAUUCUAAGAAAAACUGGGUAAAUAUUAUCACAAUUAACAAAGUAAAUUAUUUUAUAAAGAAAAAUUCAUGUUUUAUAUGGAUCAUCUGAAUUUAGUGGAUGAGGUUAAUUUUUUCGGGGCUGUAAUCUCAGAUACUUCGGAGGAAGAUUACAAGUCUGAGGCCGGCCUCCAAUCUCGAGCCCGGUCUCAAAACAUACAUAUCCACAGAUAGAGCUCUAAAAAUAUAAAAUAAAUGUGGAAUGUUAUCUGAAAUCCUUAUUUGAAGUUUUAUAUCUGUAUUGGAAAAGUGCAACAAUGAGGAUUGGCUCAGAGGAUUCUCCAAGCAAGAGUGGGAUGGUGUAUUCUUAUAGGAUUCCAAACAGCAGUUUCUGAAAGUUUAUUUUUAGGACCCAAGAUUCACUGUGUAUGUCCUUUCGUUUACCAACAAAAGCAGGUUCACAACCGGAGUCUCUCUCUCUCCUUUGCCAGUUGAAAUUCUGGUCAACCUUGACGUUCAGCAUGCGUGUUGCAGCAGCCUUUGGUUGGAUUAGUGACGCCCUCGAUAAUUUACCCCUUGCUUUUGCGGCAGAGACGACCCACGACCUGGCGCCUGACAGGCAAACUCUCCAACACCGCUCACGCUUAACCCGGCGUCGCGUGCUGUAAUCAUGUGCCAGACCCCGCGCAAGACGUUCCUAGUGUCACUGCCGGUCCUCACCACGAUGCGCUGCGUCACCCCGGCAACGCAGGGAAUCCCGGCACGCCAGGCAAACGCUCUAUCCGAGCCACGUCCCCAGCCCAAUCUCUAGAUUUUUAACCGCCGAGAACGGCGACGGUGGAGAUUGUCGUGCGCAGGGGCGGCUUUCCCCGUUCUGUCUCUGGUACUCAUACUGCCUUCCACCCGCCUGCAGUCCUAGCCGGCCUUCCUUUUCCGCAGGGGAGGCCGGAACGCGCUACUGCGCACUGCCCACGUAGUACACACCUGUCAAGCCUGACUCUCCAGGGCUGGCAACCCGCGUGGCGAGGGCCCUUGGGCCGGAGGAUGCGCGGUCACUGGGACGCGCUGUCCGGCGGGCUCCGGCGCCGGGGCUGGGCUGGCCUAGGGCACACUUGUAGGAUCUCAGCCAGCUCUUGCGGCCGCCGCUCGAUCAGCGGGGCGGGACUUCCGGUCUCCCCAUGGCACUUCCGCUCGAGGCUGGAAGCUCUGCUGCCCUCCGCUGUCAAGGGGCAGCCGCCGAGACCACCAGCUGCUGCUGGCAGAUCUCACAUUUUGGAUUCUGGCUGUCUUAACAUGAGUGACACUUUGACAUUAGAUGUCAUUGGUCAAAGAGUUGAAGUAAAUGGAGAAUAUGCAACAGUGCGUUUUUCUGGCGUUGUCCCUCCUGUGGCAGGACUCUGGUUAGGAGUGGAAUGGGACAAUCCAGAGAGAGGAAAGCAUGAUGGGAGCCAUGAAGGGAUUGUGUACUUUAAAUGCAGGCACCCAACGGGAGGAUCUUUUAUUCGUCCAAACAAGGUAAAUUUUGGAGUGGACUUUCUUACUGCAGUUAAGAACCGCUAUGCAUUAGAAGAUGGAUCAGAAGACUAUGGGGAAGAGCAAAUAAUUAUAAUUGGGAAGAAACCUGUGGAGACCAUUGGUUUUGACUCUGUGAUCAAACAGCAGAGUCAUCUGAACAACUUGCAAGAGAUUUCUCUAAGGAACUGUGCAGUAAGUUGUGCUGGUGAAAAAGGAGGAAUUGCCAGAACAUGUCCUAAUAUUACAAGAGUAGAUGUGUCAAAAAACCUGUUGUCAUCAUGGGAUGAAGUGAUUCGUAUUGCUGAUCAACUCAAAAACCUGGUGGUUCUUAAUCUCAGUGAAAACAAGCUACAGUUUCCCUCUGGCUCACCAGUGCUAACUGGAACGUUUUCUACAUUGAAGGUAUUAGUUCUCAAUCAAACAGGAAUUACGUGGGCUGAGGUGCUGCAGUGUGCCCUGGGGUGGCCAGUCCUUGAGGAGCUGUAUCUGGACUCCAACAACAUCUUCAUUUCUGAAAGGCCCAGUAAUGUUCUACAGAUGCUCAAGCUGUUAGACCUUUCCUCUAACCCAUUAAUUGAUGAAAACCAGCUGUUCCUGAUAGCCUAUCUGCCCAGAUUAGAACAACUAAUCCUUUCUGACACUGGAAUUUCUUCUAUACAUUUUCCGGAUGCUGGAAUUGGGUGCAAAACAUCCAUGUUCCCGUCCCUGCAGUACCUUGUAGUAAAUGACAAUCGGAUAUCACAAUGGUCAUUCAUCAAUGAGCUAAACAAAUUACAGAGCUUGCGUGCCCUGUCCUGUCUAAGGAACCCCCUGACUGAAGGAAGCAAGGAAGCACAGACCACUCGACAGCUCAUUAUUGCCAAAAUUGGUCAGCUGAAAACCCUGAACAAAUGUGAGAUUCUUCCAGAGGAACGGCGAGGAGCUGAGCUUGAUUACCGAAAAGCUUUUGGAAAUGAGUGGAAAAAGGCUGGUGGACAUCAGGAUCCAGAGAAAAACAGACCAAAUGAAGAAUUUCUUGCAGCCCAUCCUAGAUACCAGCUCCUGUGCCACAGUAUGUCCACAUGACCUGCUGGUCUUUCCUGGGGCAGCACAGGCAGUUCAGUGUGUUUUUGUUUUUCUCCUUCUCUUGGAGCUAUAGGUACUUUCUUGGGGCCACUUCAGCAAGUUGAGAGCAGACAGAGGUAAAUCAGUGUCUCUUGGCAGAAGGAGCUGGGAGACUCUGAGGUUCCUGAAGGGGGAGAGUUGCAUUUGAGGAAGGGAAAGCAGUCCUUAAUGUAAGUCCUCUCAUCUUUGCCUGUGCUCUCUAGAUGGUCAGUUUCAUGAGGGGUUACCACUCUCCACUCCAGGCGGGGGUGGAAAGCAUUCCAGUUCAUCUCACAGGAUUUGGGUUAUUUUUUUUUCCCACUAAAUUUUUUUUUGUGGUUGUAGAUGGACAGCAUGACUUUAUUUUGUUUCAUUUUUAUGUGGUGCUAAGGAUUGAACCCUGAACCUCACACAUGCUAGGCGAGUGCUAUGCCACUGAGCUACAGCCCCAGCCCAAGGACUUGGUAUUUUUUAACAUCCUGGGGUAAUUUUAACUUAUGCAGAAGUCACACCACCUGGUUUCUCCUCAGCUCUUCUGUCCCCAGGCUUGCUCACGUUCCGAGUUUGGCAUUUGAUAUGUGUGGUAGUCCCUUAAAUUCUUCAGCCUGGCUUCUCAGGCUUUCAAGCUUAAGAAUUUGUGAAGCUCACUGCAUAAAUGCUUCAGGCUGGAACCUUAUCUGAGAGGAAGAAAACCUGCCUAUGGGGAAUGCUUUCAAAUUACUUCAUUAGCUGGCCCAAUUUCCUGGCCACUCUCAAUCACUUGGAAUAUGGUGCACCUGAGGACGGAGAACUCAAAGUACAACAACCAUUUAUGCUGAAAAACCAACUACUGACACUGAAGAUAAAAUAUCCAAACCAACUUGAACAGAAGGUCUUAGAGAAGCAACUGCCAGGU